CGGGCGGCAAGUUCGGCGAUUCGGGCUAUAAGGUUUCGAGCGGGUUGCACGGGGUGGGAGUCUCAGUGGUGAACGCGCUAUCAGAAUCUCUUUUUGUCGAGG
rnacentral:ribozyme from 1 species